UUGGAUGGAGUUUCUUCACAAUUUGCUCAAGCAUUUCAUUUCUCAAGCGCGCCACGUUGGCUUUCGACCGAGGUCAAAACUGAGGUGACUCUUUGAACGGAGCCGUUUAUUUCUUCAAGAGACACCCGGCGUUUCAUCGACAAACGCAGCAGCACACAAGUUGAGGUUAACACGUCAUGUCAGUUCUGCGAUCCGUCUUCAACCGCCAGCCGUUUUUUUGUUGGUUUUUGUGGUGUCCGAUUGAGGUGCGGCAUUUAUUCGUUCAGUACUGUACUCGAUAACGAUUCAUUGCAUUUAUUUUAUUUUUUUUUUACUCUGAAGUAAAGUCCAGCUUUACAGAUGCCACGAUGCUUUACACCAGACCCGGGCAUUCGACGGCUGAGGGCCCAACUUGGCCCCCGGGCCGGCUCCUGCUGGCCCGGGAAGAAUUGCUGGGAAUCAAGAAAAUAAAAGCGAGGGUGCUCUCAAAAUUUGUGAGGAUGCGUGUUGGGCCGCGGGCCGGCUCUUCUCGGCCUGCCAAGAGUUGCUUGGAAUAAAGAAAAUGAAAACCGACUUUCACCAUUCUCCAAAGUGCGCGGAGCGAAAGAGCGGAAGUCUUACUUUGAAAGGCGUUUUGGUUGCGCGGGCGUCGGUGGCGAACAGGUGCUCUGGGCCAAUCCGCCUGAUUGGCGGCAGGUGGCAAUGGCGGUCACCCUUCCCAACGGUCGCCCGAGCCCGGCUCGGCUUUGCCAAGGCCGUUUCACCGAGCUAGCUACGCGCGGCAACCGGGACCGGAUGUGUGGUAGACCGCGACGUCGCCUAGAACGCCGAGACAUUUUCGGAGGUGGGGGAGAUUCCUUCGGGAGCGACGAAACGACUUCGGCCAAGGCAGGAGACAAGGGGCCGCUUCCUGCAAGGACGGCUAAUCUGCCGACAGCAGGGGUCGUCGGAUGCCAACCUUAAAAGGGCCACAAGUGCACUGGACAACUACUGGUGAGGAGGUGUUCCACAUGGCUCCACACUCGAUCCACUCGACAUCAAGCCAAUCAAAGUCACGUGAGCGUUCCG